rnacentral:lncRNA from 1 species
CGCACAACCCUAAAGAGCAAUAUGUAUAAAUAUAAAUAUGAAUUUAAAUAAUAUUUGCGCUAUUUAUUUACUCAUAUUAAUUUUUGUGUUGCUAUUACUACUGAUAUUGGUAGAAAUGGUAAUGACUGUAAUUAUCUUACUGUUAGAAGUCAUUAUAUUGGUGACGAAUGGAUAAUACAAAAGCACACUAUUGCUUAUAGAAUAAUUAAUUAACAUCACCCGAG